AAGACCUUGCGCUUUUGGAGCGGCCGAUGUCUGAUUAGCUAGUUGGUAGGGUAAUGGCCUACCAAAGCUUCGAUCAGUAGCUGGUCUGAGAGGACGACCAGCCACACUGGGACUGAGACACGGCCCAGACUCCUACGGGAGGCAGCAGUGGGGAAUUUUGGACAAUGGGCGCAAGCCUGAUCCAGCCGUGCCGCGUGAGUGAAGAAGGCCUUCGGGUUGUAAAGCUCUUUCAGCCGGGAAGAAAAGGCUACGACGAAUAAUCGUAGCUCAUGACGGUACCGGAAGAAGAAGCACCGGCUAACUACGUGCCAGCAGCCGCGGUAAUACGUAGGGUGCGAGCGUUAAUCGGAAUUACUGGGCGUAAAGGGUGCGCAGGCGGUUUUGUAAGUCAGAUGUGAAAUCCCCGGGCUUAACCUGGGAACU
rnacentral:rRNA from 1 species